ACACGUGAGUAACCUGCCCUUAACUCUGGGAUAAGCCUGGGAAACUGGGUCUAAUACCGGAUAUGACUCCUCAUCGCAUGGUGGGGGGUGGAAAGCUUUUUGUGGUUUUGGAUGGACUCGCGGCCUAUCAGCUUGUUGGUGAGGUAAUGGCUUACCAAGGCGACGACGGGUAGCCGGCCUGAGAGGGUGACCGGCCACACUGGGACUGAGACACGGCCCAGACUCCUACGGGAGGCAGCAGUGGGGAAUAUUGCACAAUGGGCGCAAGCCUGAUGCAGCGACGCCGCGUGAGGGAUGACGGCCUUCGGGUUGUAAACCUCUUUCAGUAGGGAAGAAGCGAAAGUGACGGUACCUGCAGAAGAAGCGCCGGCUAACUACGUGCCAGCAGCCGCGGUAAUACGUAGGGCGCAAGCGUUAUCCGGAAUUAUUGGGCGUAAAGAGCUCGUAGGCGGUUUGUCGCGUCUGCCGU
rnacentral:rRNA from 1 species